rnacentral:lncRNA from 1 species
CACUCUACCAUUUCACAAAAAUGUACAUAUCUUACUCAAAAUUUUAAAAAUUUAAAAAAAAAUAUUAGUAUAUAAUUAUUUAAGAGUAUUGCUAUUCCAUACACACCAGCAAGUACUAUAUGAUUUAAAAGAUCAAAUAACUAGACACCCAAGUAAACUAAGAACCGAGUUGAAGAAGAGGAGAGACGAACAAAGCUGUACAUUAUUAGGAGAUGAGACACAAGCUCCAAAAGGAUAUAGGAGACUGUGAGAUUGAAAGCAAGGAGAUCAAAUCCAGGAAGACGAGGAGAGAACCGGUGAGUCUAGCGCCUUCCCACAGCUUAAGGAUAAGAGCCUAACAAUGGAUCUGGCCAGAAAAUAUCAAUGAUCAACACCGUGACUGAACCCGUAGCACCAACACCAAGAGAAAUCACUCCUCUUACACACAGCGUGUUCACCACUUGAAGCAAGAACAUGCAUGGCACAAAUAGACAAGAAUCAGAUGAAAGCAAACCAAGACGAAGCGGUAAUCGGUGAUUGUGUCACAACGAAGCCUAAACUCCGAAAAUUCUGAGCCAUCCAAGCACAAGCACCGAUAUAGAAACCGCAAACGCCACAUGCAAGAUCAUCCAAUUCAAAUCUAAAAUUCUGGAUCUUUGAACUUGAUUUAAAAACCAGCUUUAAUUAGGAAGAGAAAACUACACAAACAAAGAAAGGAAAUAGAAGAACAAGAAACCCGACCGACGCCUUGGCUAUGAGAGUCAAACGACGUCGGCCGGUGAUCGGAGUGAACAAAGAGAGAAGGCAGAGGAUAUUUCUAGAGAGAGAAGUGAGUUAACAAGGGCCCUAAAAGAGAUCUAUAAGCCCAUUUCGGUAUGUCGUAUUAAGCUAUGUCAAGUUUUGAGAAUGAUAUGAAUGUUAUGCACGGGUGAUUUGACAUGUUAGAGAGUAAUUAUUUGGUAUAUAUCAGCUAUGUGUGCAUCUGUGUACAAAUCUAUUCAUUCUCUUCUUUUUGAAAUUGUAGCUUUUCGUCUGAAAACUACAGCAUAUGCAGAAGAAGAACAUGCAUUAUCUGUGUUUUGUGCUUCGACUUAUUGAAAUCUCACCUUUUCUAAUUUAUCCGUACGUGUGUUCUUAUUAAAACUAAAGUUCUGCAUAUACAGAAGAAGAAUUAAAUGGGUGUUAGAGCAUCUCCUUGGAGUCCUUAAGUAUAUUUUACUAUUUUUUUUUUUAAGAAUUAAGGAUUCUAAAGCAUCUUCAAUGGUGUUCCCACCGUUUCGAAAACCCCGAAACCCAAGUCAAAAUCACAUCGAAAUCGACAUGCAAGCUCCCCAAGAAGAAACCCUAAUCGAAUAAACCCACGAAUUAAGAGAGGAAACCACUGAUUUAGCAGAUCUACGCCGAGGAUCGGAAUCGCCUUACGAGGAAUCAGAGCUUUUUUUUUUUCGUGACCGAAUGAUUUUUUGACGACAAAAUAACUCGAGAUUAUACCGGCUUCGUUUGCCACGUCGAUAAGGAUUGGGUAUCGAAAAACUCUUCCAUAAGGAUUAAUCCUUCUCAACCCGAGCCCAUUUAUUAUUAUUAAAAUCGAAAACCCAUAAGGACUUGGGCUUAAGGAUUCGAUAAAUACAGCGUUGUGGUUGCUCUUACUAUCUUUGUAAGUUAACUGCCACCACAAGAAAACAUGUGAUUUCCGACUACAGUUUGCGACUGUACAGGUAGUCGUUAAUAUUUAUGACUGUUAGGCGACUGAUUUGCGACUCAUAAAAUUCCGUCGUAUAUAAGUCGCAAAAUAACGACUACGACAAUCAGUCGUCGGAAUAAUACAGACGCAAUAUAGUCGGUAAGUGGAGACUAUUUAGCGACCGAUUUUUGUGGUCAUAACUUAGUCGCUAAUCGGUCGGUGAAAACCGGUACAAAACACGUAGUUUACGUUUUAUGGUUGGUGUAACUAAUUUUAGCUAGCAGUUGGUAUUUAGUCGCUAAUAAGUCAGAAAUUUUGCUAUAUAAUCUAAAAAAUAUUUUCCACAUUUCUGCUCAGAAAUCGUAGAAAGAAAGUUUUACAACAAAAAAAAUCGUCGAAAAACAAAAGAAAAAAAGAUUGUUUGAAGUGUUACAAUGUCGGGAAAUUACAACUAUUCCAAUCUUCGAGAAUGGAUAUACAAGAGGAUCGAUGAAAUGACGGGAAAUUUCUCAUAAGAGUUCAUAGCAGGGGUUGAUCAAUUCAUGACAUUUGCAAAUAGCCAGCCUAUCACGCAGAGCAAUGGGGGUAAAUUUUAUGUCCAUGUAGUGUUUGCAAGAACAAUAAAUUUCUUCCGGGGUCAAAAAUUUGGAAACAUAUAUAUAGUAGAGGAUUCAUGCAAGACUAUUAUGUUUAGUAUAAUCAUGGAGAAGAAAUUGAUAAGUAAUUAGGAACGAGUCAUGUUGAUCUGACACCUUUAAGUGAUAGUGAAGAAGUUGGUAAUGAAGAUAGAUAUGUUGAUAUGGUAAAUGAGUCAUUUCGUGAUAAUGUGAGUCCUGAUAAUUAUCACCAGGAUGGUAGUUACCAAAAUGUAGUAGAUGAUGUAUGCAACCAUUCAAAAAAGUUUUACGACUUGUUAGAAGGAGAAAAAAAGUCCCUUGUAAGAUGGUUGUCGUGAAGGUCACUCGCAGCUAUCCUUAGCUGCUCGAGUCUUGCAAACUAAGGCAGAUUAUAAUAUGAGUGAAAAGUGUGUGGAUUCGGUGUUCCAAAUGCUGAAUGACUAUUUACCUGAUGGAAACAUGGCAACCGACUCACACUACGAGACAGAAAAGUUGAUGCGCAAUUUAGGCCUCCCAUAUUUUACAAUUGAUGUUUGUAUCAACAAGUGUAUGAUAUUCUGGAAAGAAGAUGAAAGGUGGAAACAUGUCAGUUUUGUGGUGCAGAAAGAUGGAAGCUUAGGGACAAACGCCGUAGAAACAAAGUACCAUAUAGCCGUAUGUGGUAUCUCCCUAUAGCUGAUAGGUUGAAGAGAAUGUAUCAGAGCAAGAAGACUGCAGCGGCAAUGAAGUGGCAUGUUGAGCACCAAGCAAAAGAGGGAGAAAUGUGUCAUCCAUCUGAUGCGGCGGAGUGGAAAAACUUUCAAGAAAUACAUCCUCGGUUUGCCGAAAAACCGCGUAACGUUUAUCUUGGAUUAUGUACAGAUGGAUUUAAUCUAUUUGGGAUGUCUCAUAAUCAUUCAUUGUGGCAUGUGAUCUUGACUCCGUAUAUUCUGCCCCCGGGUAUGUGCAUGAAAACAGAGUACCUGUUUCUUACAAUUCUAAAUUCUGGGCCAAAUCAUCCGCGAGCUAGUCUUGAUAUCUUCCUCAAACCUCUGAUUGCGGAGUUAAAAAAAUUGUGGUCAACUGGAGUUGAAGCAUACGAUGUGUCCUUGAAUCAAAAUUUUAACCUAAAAGAUGUGCUUUUGUGGACGAUAAGCGAUUUUCCGGCGUACGUCAUGUUUUCCGGAUGGAUGACCCAUGGUAAAUUGGCAUGUCCAAUUUGCAUGGAAGAUACAAAUUUUUUUAUCUGCCUAAUGGAAAGAAGAUGUGUUGGUUUGAUUGUCACCGAAGAUUUUUUCCUCGUAAUCAUCCACUAAGGAAGAAUAGAAAGGAUUUCUUAAAGGGGAAAAAUGUAGUAAAUAAAAUUCCACCUAAUUUUUUUACUGGUGAGCAAGUUUAUUUAGAGCGGUUAAAGGUGUCAAUCCUCCGAAAACGUCUGUUUGCGGUGGAAACAGUCAUGAAAAGAAGAAGCCUGGAUAUGGAAAGGACCAUAAUUGGCACAAGGAAAUCAUAUUUUGGGAGUUGUCAUACUGGAGGGAUCUAAUUCUCCGACAUAAUCUUGAUGUGAUGCAUAUAGAGAAGAAAUUUUUUGACAACAUCAUGAAUACUCUUACGAAUGUGAAGGAUAAAUCGAAAGACACAAUCCAGUCAAGAUUGGAUAUAUCAAAGUUUUGUGAUCGGCCACACUUACAUGUUGAUGGUGAUUGUCAAGCUCCAUUUCCUCCCUACACAUUGGACGAAGCCGGGAAAUUUGUUUUAUUGGAAUGUGUGAAAAGCGCAGUUAAAUUCCCUGACGAUUAUGCUUCAGACUUGGCUAAUUGUGUUGAUAUAGAGAACAACAAGUUUUCUGGCAUGAAGAGUCAUGACUGCCAUGUUUUUAUGGAGCAGCUACUUCCAUUUAUCUUUCAGAACUCCUAGACAAAAACUUCCAUCUUGCGUUGUCAGGUGCUAAUUUUUUCGUUAUAAUUUUUUAUAUUAUAUGAUACAACUUAAUCUAUGAUUAUCAAUAAUAUUUUUAAUAUUGUAGGUGUUGGAUUUUUUUUUCCGUGACCUUUGCUCGCGAACUUUUCAGAAAGAUCAUUUCCAAAUUCUAAAACAAAACAUUGUUUUGAUCAUCUGCAAUUUAGAGAAGAUAUUUCCACCAUCAUUUUUUGACGUAAUGCAGCAUCUCCCUAUACACCUCCCCUGUGAAGCUGAAUUAGAAGGACCUGUCAAUUAUAGGUGGAUGUAUAUCUUUGAAAGGAAUUUCAAAAAGUUGAAAGCAAAAGCAAAGAACAAAAGAUUUGUUGUUGGAUCAAUUGUUGAA